rnacentral:rRNA from 1 species
ACCGAAUAGAUACCCGGGUAGUCCAUGCCCUAAACGGUGUUCACUAGGUGUCGGGGAUUUUCUUCGGUGCCGCAGCUAAACGCAUUAAAGUGAACCGCCUGGGGACUACGGCCGCAAGGUUGAAACUCAAAGGAAUUGGCGGGGCCCGCACAAGCGGUGGAGCAUGUGGCUUAAUUCGAUGCAACGCGAAGAACCUUACCAGGGUUUGUACAUGUAACUGCAAGCUCCCGAAACUGGAGUCGCUUUCGUAAGGUGUUACACAGGUGGUGCAUGGCUGUCGUCAGCUCGUGUUGUGAAAUGUUGGGUUAAGUCCCGCAACGAGCGCAACCCUCAUGUUCUGUUGCCAGCGGGUAAUGCCGGGAACUCGGAACAAACUGCCUCUGUAAAGAGGAGGAAGGUGGGGAUGACGUCAAGUCUUCAUGCCCCUUACACCCUGGGCUGCACACAUGCUACAAUGGCCGGUACAAAGAGCAGCGACAUCGCGAGGUAGAGCAAAUCUCAAAAACGCCGGUCUCAGUUCGGAUUGGAGUCUGCAACUCGAC